ACAGGUCUGAUAAUGUGGGGGCAUAAUGGCUGAGCUGUUCUUUGAGCUCGUCCAAUCAGUGGGCGCUGCUGGCCGCCACGGCCGCUGCAUGUGGAAACAGAUAUCCACAGGCGCAGCGAGUGGAACCGCGCCACUGCCUGUCAUUAGCGGGAGGGCAGAAAGAAAGUGGAAAUAUACGUGACCCGGGAUUAGGAUUCGGAAAAAAAAACAACACAAAACAACAGAGGACACGAGUAAUACCGCAAGGAACCCGUCCUACUUUCUAUUGCAUCACAGGAGGCGAUUAAUAGGCGCUGUCUAUGCAGGACGACCUCCCUGGCUUAAACCCCCGGGCUUAAAGUUCGGAUUUGGAAAAAAGCAGGCGAACAUUGAAAAAGAAAAAGAAAAGAGAAACGUAUCAAUCUGCAAAAUCCAUAAUGCGAUAAACAAACGCGUUCCGCCGUUUUCUUUAUGAAACGUGGUCCGAGCGUGUUCUCUGGAACAGCCCCAGCCGAAGGAGUUAAAGUGUUGUUCAACACGAGGCCAGCGGGGUGAUACACAGGCAGGCCUGCUAUGACGUCAUUGCCGGCAUCCAGGCAGCUGUGGGAAAGCAGAGAUGUGGACCACAUGAUUACACACAUCUCUCAGGUCCUCUUCUGCAGUGGUACAGUCUGUGCUUUCGUUCUCAAGCGCUACUCGGAACCGAAAACAACGGAAACACAAUCCUGUUACUUGGCACAAAACGAGGUCAAAGCAGAACGCAGAGGCAAAAUAUAUAAGAUCAACACACCAAAAGGAAGAAGACUGAGAAAGAUAGGUAGGAUCCCCUCUGAGAUAUGCAGAGAAUGCCGAGCAUGGGAG
ensembl:lncRNA